CGGAAUGUGGAGCAGCUUGGUAGCUCGCUUCGUUCGGGACGAAGAGGCCGCAGGUUCGAGUCCUGCCAUUCCGA
rnacentral:tRNA from 1 species